rnacentral:SRP_RNA from 1 species
CCGUGCUAGAUGGGGAGGUAGCGGUGCCCUAUAACCUGCAAUCCGCUACAGCAGGAUUGAAUUCCCAGUCUAGGGAUUUCUAUUGUGAGGUCUGCCCUGAACAAGUGGCGUUGACGGUUGGGUCCUGCGCAACGGAAACUCAUGAACCUCGUCAGGUCCGGAAGGAAGCAGCGAU